CCUACGGGUGGCAGCAGUGAGGAAUAUUGGUCAAUGGCCGGAAGGCUGAACCAGCCAUGCCGCGUGAAGGUCAGUGCCCUAUGGGCGUUAAACUUCUUUUGUGCGGGAGCAAUAAUGGUCACGUGUGGCCAGACGAGAGUACCGUACGAAUAAGCAUCGGCUAACUCCGUGCCAGCAGCCGCGGUAAUACGGGGGAUGCCAGCGUUAUCCGGAUUUAUUGGGUUUAAAGGGUGCGUAGGCUGUGAGGUAAGUCAGCGUGGAAAUGCCCGCGCUCAACGGGGUGAAGUGCCAUUGAUACUGGCAUGCUGGAGUGCGGAUGCGGUGGGAGGAAUGUGUGGUGUAGCGGUGAAAUGCAUAGAUAUCACACAGAACACCGAUUGCGAAGGCAUCUCACGAAUCCGCGAUUGACGCUGAUGCACGAAAGCGUGGGUAUCAAACAGGAUUAGAUACCCUUGUAGUC
rnacentral:rRNA from 1 species